UACGAAGGGUGCAAGCGUUACUCGGAAUUACUGGGCGUAAAGCGUGCGUAGGUGGUGAGUUAAGUCUGUCGUGAAAUCCCCGGGCUCAACCUGGGAAUGGCAAUGGAUACUGGACAGCUAGAGUGCGGUAGAGGGGUGUGGAAUUCCCGGUGUAGCGGUGAAAUGCGUAGAGAUCGGGAGGAACACCAGUGGCGAAGGCGGCACCCUGGACCAGCACUGACACUGAGGCACGAAAGCGUGGGGAGCAAACAGG
rnacentral:rRNA from 1 species